UACGUAGGUGGCAAGCGUUGUCCGGAUUUAUUGGGUUUAAAGGGUGCGUAGGCGGCCUAUUAAGUCAGUGGUGAAAUCUCCGGGCUUAACCCGGAAACUGCCAUUGAUACUAUUUGUCUUGAAUACUGUGGAGGUCAGCGGAAUAUGUCAUGUAGCGGUGAAAUGCUUAGAUAUGACAUAGAACACCAAUUGCGAAGGCAGCUGGCUACACAAAUAUUGACACUGAGGCACGAAAGCGUGGGGAUCAAACAGG
rnacentral:rRNA from 1 species